UGGGGAAUAUUGCACAAUGGGGGAAACCCUGAUGCAGCGACGCCGCGUGAGUGAAGAAGUUAUUCGUAAUGUAAAGCUCUAUCAGCAGGGAAGAAAGUGACGGUACCUGAGUAAGAAGCGCCGGCUAAAUACGUGCCAGCAGCCGCGGUAAUACGUAUGGUGCAAGCGUUAUCCGGAUUUACUGGGUGUAAAGGGUGCGUAGGUGGCAUGGCAAGUCAGAAGUGAAAGGCCGGGGCUCAACCCCGGGACUGCUUUUGAAACUGUCAGGCUGGAGUGCAGGAGAGGAAAGCGGAAUUCCUAGUGUAGCGGUGAAAUGCGUAGAUAUUAGGAGGAACACCAGUGGCGAAGGCGGCUUUCUGGACUGAAACUGACACUGAGGCACGAAAGCGUGGGGAGCAAACAGG
rnacentral:rRNA from 1 species